UACGUAGGGGGCGAGCGUUGUCCGGAUUUAUUGGGCGUAAAGAGCUCGUAGGCGGUUUGGUAAGUCGGAUGUGAAAUCUCCACGCUCAACGUGGAGGCGCCAUCCGGUACUGCCAUGACUAGAGUCCGGUAGGGGAGUGUGGAAUUCCCGGUGUAGCGGUGAAAUGCGCAGAGAUCGGGAGGAACACCCGUAGCGAAGGCGGCACUCGUGGGCCGGUACUGGACGCUGAGGAGCGAAAGCGUGGGGAGCGAACAGG
rnacentral:rRNA from 1 species